UACGAAGGGGGCUAGCGUUGUUCGGAUUUACUGGGCGUAAAGCGCACGUAGGCGGGUCGUUAAGUCAGGGGUGAAAUCCCGGAGCUCAACUCCGGAACUGCCUUUGAUACUGGCGACCUUGAGGCUGGAAGAGGUUAGUGGAAUUCCCAGUGUAGAGGUGAAAUUCGUAGAUAUUGGGAAGAGCACCAGUGGCGAAGGCGGCUAACUGGUCCAGAUCUGACGCUGAGGUGCGAAAGCGUGGGGAGCAAACAGG
rnacentral:rRNA from 1 species